CCAGCUGAUUACAACUGAAGUCAUACAGGAUGUUUCUAACUUUCAAUUGAAGUUGACGCCAUCCUGACAAGUUACGAUAUGCAACACCAGAAAAGAAAUUCCAUGCAAUCGGACUUGAUUCAGCCAUUCCUCGUCAAUGACAAUAACACAAAUGAAGUGAUAACUCGUGCCAGGAAAACCAUAAUAACGCAUCUACUAUUCGCGAUCUUGACUAUAGCUUUGAUUACUGUGGUUGUGUUAUUGGUUAUCUGGAUGAUCUGUGUACCGCCUAAGCCAGUCAUCAAUUAUGCAUGUAAAGAUCCCUGCAUAAUCACAUUAGUUGAAAGUAUUCCUGAAAAUCUGACAUAUCCAACGAAUUUUUCCCAACAUUUAUCAAUAUUCGAAGGAUGGAUAAACUUGAUAAACAUGGCAGAACACAGUAUAGACAUAGCUUCAUUUUACUGGUCUCUGAGAGGGUCUGAUGUCAUACCUGACCCAUCAGACUGGCAGGGUGAACACAUUUAUUCUGAAAUUCUCAGAGCUGGCACAGAAAGAGGAAUUGAUAUAAGGAUUGCCCAAUCACAACCAACAGACGCGGAACCCACUAAAGAUACAAAAGAUUUAGCCAAAGCCGGAGCUGCUGAAGUUCGUAGUUUAGAUUUUGAGAGAUUCAUGCCAUCGCAUUCUGGAAUCCUGCACACUAAAAUGUGGCUGGUGGACGGUAAACAUUUCUUUAUUGGAAGCGCCAACAUGGACUGGAGGUCAUUGACCCAGGUGAAAGAACUUGGAGCGAUUGUUUACAACUGCAGCUGUUUAGCACAGGAUAUGGGGAAGAUAUUUGAGACAUACUGGUAUAUGGGAGAACCCAAUUCCACAAAUACCAAAGCAGUGGCCAUCUGAAUAUGAGACUGACUUUAAUAUAACCAAUCCACUGCAGUUGAGUUUUAAUGAUACAGCAACUUCAACUUUGAUUGCAAGUUCCCCACCUGCGCUAUGUCCAUUCGGUCGUAGUUCCGAUAUUGACGCCAUACUACAUGUUAUCGAUUCAGCUCAGUCGUUUGUUAACAUUGCCGUCAUGGAUUAUAUUCCUGCCAUAGUUUUUACGAAUCCUAAAAGUUUUUGGUCAAUUAUUGAUGACAAGUUACGAAGUGUUGCUUAUAAUAAAAAUAUUCAUGUACGUCUGUUAGGGAGUAUAUGGAAUCACACAGAACCCGAAAUGUUGAACUUUUUAAUAUCAUUAUCAGCUCUUGAUGGCAUACAGGGACGCGUUGAAGUGCAGAUUCUGUACCCAGAUAUAAAAUAUCACUCUACAGGAACAUCUAAUUGGUCUGGUGACUACUUUGUGUCCACAGGUGGAAUUGGAUUUGUAGUUAACCAAACCAGUAACCAUAACGAUGACUCUUUGGAAGAUGAAAACUUCCAGAAACAGUUAUUAAGUGUAUUUGAAAGAGACUGGUAUUCAACAUAUGCAACAAAUAUUCCGUCAGUCUAA